rnacentral:sRNA from 1 species
GCGGAGACGAAAGUUUCCGUUCACUCCUCACACCACACUCCGCCUAGAUCUUUUGAUCUAGGCGGUU